GGCGGCGUGCUUAACACAUGCAAGUCGAACGGAAAGGCCCUGCUUUUGUGGGGUGCUCGAGUGGCGAACGGGUGAGUAACACGUGAGUAACCUGCCCUUGACUUUGGGAUAACUUCAGGAAACUGGGGCUAAUACCGGAUAGGAGCUCCUGCUGCAUGGUGGGGGUUGGAAAGUUUCGGCGGUUGGGGAUGGACUCGCGGCUUAUCAGCUUGUUGGUGGGGUAGUGGCUUACCAAGGCUUUGACGGGUAGCCGGCCUGAGAGGGUGACCGGCCACAUUGGGACUGAGAUACGGCCCAGACUCCUACGGGAGGCAGCAGUGGGGAAUAUUGCACAAUGGGCGGAAGCCUGAUGCAGCAACGCCGCGUGCGGGAUGACGGCCUUCGGGUUGUAAACCGCUUUCGCCUGUGACGAAGCGUGAGUGACGGUAAUGGGUAAAGAAGCACCGGCUAACUACGUG
rnacentral:rRNA from 1 species